UACGGGGGGAGCAAGCGUUGUUCGGAUUUACUGGGCGUAAAGGGCGCGUAGGCGGUCGUGACAAGUCACUUGUGAAAUCUCCGGGCUUAACUCGGAACGGUCAAGUGAUACUGUCGGACUAGAGUACAGAAGGGGCAACUGGAAUUCUCGGUGUAGCGGUAGAAAUGCGUAGAUAUCUGGAGGAAUACCGGUGGCGAAGGCGGCAUCCUGGACCGGCAUUGACGGCUGAUGAGCGAAAGCUAGGGGAGCAAACGGG
rnacentral:rRNA from 1 species